CCCAACUUUAUCCUCUCUCUUUUCAGAGCCUGGGAGGGGCUCAGAUCUGGUAGAAAUAAAGACAAAGGAGGGGCUGGAGACAUUUCUGCAACAAAGCGAAUGCGGAUGCCUAGUGAGACUGUGGGCAUCUUCCAGUUACACCCUCAACAACUAUAGCAUCUACGGGACCCGCCCCCACCACCUCCCCAUUGGACUUUUGUCCCCCACCAGCCUUGAUAGAUUACAAGUUCCCACAACAGGGACUGUUUCUUCCUCUCGGCUUUGUUUGGAGCAUUGUUCUAGCAAGGCUCAAAUAAGGGGCCAUUAUUAAUAGUGAUAAUAAUGCAACGCUCUUUUCUCAAGGGCCUGACAGACCAACAGCAUGCUGCUUCCUGCCGCCUCUCGCUGGCGGUUUUCACCUACGAACCCUCAGCUGCCCGGGCAACAGCACCCAGCAUGCCCUCUACAUCAUGCUGCCUGAAUGCCAUCUCAUCAGAUUCUCCAGGGCCCCGAACACUGGGCGGAGGCCCGGCAGAGGACGGACGAGACAGCCACGGGAGACACAGCAGGCCAAGGAGAUAAUGGGCCCCAGGAGGUCACGAGCUCCCGCUGUGGACAGAGUUCAACUCCAGAGCCAGUGUGGAAACAAAGAUGCAUGAGCCUACAUCUGGAACCCUCUUUGAGUCCAAAGAGCAAGAUCACGCAUCUGCCGCGCACAACACACAUGGCCGCCACCCUGCUACACCCCAGCCUCCUGCUGACGUCUGUGCGGGAGGCUGUGAUCUGGGGGCAGGACUGUGAAACCACCUUGGUAAGGCUGGUGUGGGGGUGUUGUGGGCCCGGGCAGCUCUCCUUUCCAUACUGCCGUCUUUAUGGGGUCUGCUGGUUGAUGGGCUUUGCUCUCUAAGAUCAGCCGUCUAUUAGAGAAAGCCUCCCAGCGUCUUCUCUGAGGGAAGGUCCUGAUCAGGCUUCUCCAGCAGGACCAGAAGGGAGGGAGUCCCAGCUCCAUCAGGCCACCAGAUCUUUGAGCAGCAGCUUGGAGGGAGCAUAGGGCCCAAGGUGGGGGGGCCUAAUCUAGGCUGGGAUUCUAAUCUAGACUCCCCCUCCUCAGCUCUCUCAGUCCUGACCUCUUCCUCUGCUGCCCGUGUGAUCAAGAGCACAUGGUGACACUGGGACAUGGCUCCUUCUCUGGGACUGUGGACAGGGAAGAGGCACAACCACUUCUACAAUAGGCAAGGGAAGCAAGAAUGGACUGAGGCCCUUGGAAAUCGAUUAAUGGCCCAAAUCCAUGGGAAUUUGCCCACUACUCCAAGAGCUUUCAAACUGGCUCAGGAAAUCUGAUUUUGUUUGACUUUUUUGCCACCAACAUUUACCUGAAUUGGUUGGUGGCUCUGUUUCUUUCUUUCAGUUUUACUCCUUAAAGCUGAACAAAGAAACCCAAAUAGAGAUUCAAAGCCAAGAGUUGCUGCAAUGCUCUCCCAAAAUAGGAGCAGUGAGGGCUGUCAUGGACUGGCCAUUCUUCAGUCCCUGCGGACACUGAACUAUUCCAAGUAUGUCCCAGGGUACCAUCCUGGGUGGGGUGAUGCUUAGGCAGGACUGGUACUGUAGGGUACUGACUGGAAGGCCCUGGACCAGACCCUUCCCAUCUGGCCCAUCCUCAGAAUAAGGGUCUUGGCUUCACUUGCCUUUGAAUCCUCUUCUAGCCUGCAGAUAUCACAACCCCUCCACCCUUCCAUGUCCUUGGUCACCAAAGGGGGGUUUUAAUGCAGCACGACGGGCCAGGCAAGAGGCAAUGAGCAUCACAGACCCAGUUCCUCCCUGAUGGAACCUCCCCCCCAAGUCCUCGUCCUUCCUGAUGAUUCAUGAGCUUCAUUUAUUUUUUAUUUUAUUAUUUAUUUAGUCAUUUU
rnacentral:lncRNA from 1 species